rnacentral:rRNA from 1 species
AUACGNGUGAGUAACCUGCCUUUCAGAGGGGGAUAACAUUCUGAAAAGGAUGCUAAUACCGCAUAAAGUCAGAGUGUCGCAUGGCGCACUGACCAAAGGAGCAAUCCGCUGAAAGAUGGACUCGCGUCCGAUUAGCUAGUUGGCGGGGUAAAGGCCCACCAAGGCGACGAUCGGUAGCCGGACUGAGAGGUUGAACGGCCACAUUGGGACUGAGACACGGCCCAGACUCCUACGGGAGGCAGCAGUGGGGGAUAUUGCACAAUGGGGGAAACCCUGAUGCAGCAACGCCGCGUGAGUGACGAAGGUCUUCGGAUUGUAAAACUCUGUUCUUGGUGAAGAUAAUGACGGUAGCCAAGGAGAAAGCUCCGGCUAACUACGUGCCAGCAGCCGCGGUAAUACGUAGGGAGCGAGCGUUGUCCGGAAUUACUGGGUGUAAAGGGUGCGUAGGCGGCCUUGCAAGUCAGGCGUGAAAACCAUGGGCUCAACCCGUGGACUGCGUUUGAAACUGUGAGGCUUGAGUGAAGUAGAGGUAGGCGGAAUUCCCGGUGUAGCGGUGAAAUGCGUAGAGAUCGGGAGGAACACCAGUGGCGAAGGCGGCCUACUGGGCUUUAACUGACGCUGAGGCACGAAAGCAUGGGUAGCAAACAGGAUUAGAUACCCUGGUAGU